AGCGAACGCUGGCGGCAGGCCUAACACAUGCAAGUCGAACGAACUCUUCGGAGUUAGUGGCGGACGGGUGAGUAACACGUGGGAACGUGCCUUUAGGUUCGGAAUAACUCAGGGAAACUUGUGCUAAUACCGAAUGUGCCCUUCGGGGGAAAGAUUUAUCGCCUUUAGAGCGGCCCGCGUCUGAUUAGCUAGUUGGUGAGGUAAAGGCUCACCAAGGCGACGAUCAGUAGCUGGUCUGAGAGGAUGAUCAGCCACAUUGGGACUGAGACACGGCCCAAACUCCUACGGGAGGCAGCAGUGGGGAAUCUUGCGCAAUGGGCGAAAGCCUGACGCAGCCAUGCCGCGUGAAUGAUGAAGGUCUUAGGAUUGUAAAAUUCUUUCACCGGGGACGAUAAUGACGGUACCCGGAGAAGAAGCCCCGGCUAACUUCGUGCCAGCCGCCGCCGCUG
rnacentral:rRNA from 1 species